rnacentral:rRNA from 1 species
CUACGGGAUGCAGCAGUGGGGAAUAUUGGACAAUGGGGGAAACCCUGAUCCAGCAAUGCCGCGUGUGUGAAGAAGGCCUGCGGGUUGUAAAGCACUUUCGGUUGGGAGGACUGCUUCUAGCACUAAUAUUGUUGGAAGUUGACGUUACCUUCAGAAGAAGCACCGGCUAACUCCGUGCCAGCAGCCGCGGUAAUAGCGGAGGGUGCAAGCGUUAAUCGGAAUUACUGGGCGUAAAGCGCGCGUAGGCGGCUAGAUCAGUCGGGUGUGAAAGCCCCGGGCUUAACCUGGGAACUGCAUCCGAUACUGUCUAGCUUGAGUACAGGAGAGGAGAGUGGAAUUCCACAUGUAGCGGUGAAAUGCGUAGACAUGUGGAGGAACACCAAUGGCGAAGGCAGCUCUCUGGCCUGAUACUGACGCUGAGGUGCGAAAGCGUGGGGAGCAAACAGGAUUAGAUACCCCGGUAGUC